rnacentral:ncRNA from 1 species
GUACGAGAGGACCGGGACGGACGAACCUCUGGUGUGCCAGUUAUCCUGCCAGGGGUAUGGCUGGUUUGCUACGUUCGGGAUGGGUAACCGCUGAAAGCAUCUAAGCGGGAAACUAGCUUCGAGAUUAGGUUUCCGUCCCUGUUUUUUGGGGGGAGGUUCCCGGUAGAUUACCGGGUUGAUAGGCUAGGAGUGUAGACAUUGUAAGGUGACCAGCUUACUAGUACUAAUUGACCGAUUACUAACAAUAA